AACGAACGCUGGCGGCAGGCUUAACACAUGCAAGUCGAACGCGUGUAGCAAUACACGCGUGGCGCACGGGUGAGUAACCCGUGGAUAUCUGCCUUUUGGUUCGGAAUAACCCCGGGAAACUGGGGCUAAUACCGGAUGGUUCCUUCGGGAUAAAGAUUUAUCGCCAAAAGAUGAGUCCGCGUACGAUUGGCUAGUUGGUGAGGGAAUGGCUCACCAAGGCGACGAUCGUUAGCUGGUCUGAGAGGACGAUCAGCCACCCUGGGACUGAGACACGGCCCAGACUCCUACGGGAGGCAGCAGUGGGGAAUAUUGGACAAUGGGGGCAACCCUGAUCCAGCCAUGCCGCGUGAGUGAUGAAGGCCUUCGGGUUGUAAAGCUCUUUGGGCGGGGACGAUGAUGACGGUACCCGCAGAAUAAGCCCCGGCUAACUUCGUGCCAGCCGCCGCCGUAA
rnacentral:rRNA from 1 species